rnacentral:rRNA from 1 species
UGGGGAAUAUUGGACAAUGGGCGAAAGCCUGAUCCAGCCAUGCCGCGUGUGUGAAGAAGGUCUUCGGAUUGUAAAGCACUUUAAGUUGGGAGGAAGGGCAGUAAGUUAAUACCUUGCUGUUUUGACGUUACCGACAGAAUAAGCACCGGCUAACUCUGUGCCAGCAGCCGCGGUAAUACAGAGGGUGCAAGCGUUAAUCGGAAUUACUGGGCGUAAAGCGCGCGUAGGUGGCUUGUUAAGUUGGAUGUGAAAGCCCCGGGCUCAACCUGGGAACUGCAUCCAAAACUGGCAGGCUAGAGUACGGUAGAGGGUGGUGGAAUUUCCUGUGUAGCGGUGAAAUGCGUAGAUAUAGGAAGGAACACCAGUGGCGAAGGCGACCACCUGGACUGAUACUGACACUGAGGUGCGAAAGCGUGGGGAGCAAACA